rfam:Saccharomyces cerevisiae FostersO chromosome II FOSTERSO_c2_7, whole genome shotgun sequence.
AUCUCUUUGCCUUUUUGGCUUAGAUCAAGUGUAGUAUCUGUUCUUUUCAGUGUAACAACUGAAAUGACCUCAAUGAGGCUCAUUACCUUUUAAUUUGUUACAAUACACAUUUU